CUGGGGAGACAGGGAAACUCUCAGCAGGGAAAGGGAAGCAUUUGGUAAACUCCUCCAUUUCUGUCACCCUGCUACACAAAGAAGUCUUUGUGCUACACAAAUUGUCUUUGCUGACAAUUCCCAGGCCUUCUGAUAGUGCAGCCUGCUCACCAUUCCAGGUUUCAGGUCAGUGGUAAGUAGAGACUUCCUCAGACCAUCCAGAUGGGUAACAGCCAGUCUCUCCUCCCUCAGUGUCACUGUCCCUGUGAUGGCUCAGCUAUGGUGCGUGCUCUGUACUGGGCCUAAUGUCUUGAUUCUCUCAGAGCACAGCCUUGGAGCUGAGCUCAGGAGAACAGGCCAGAGCAAGCCUGCAAGAGAAGAUUCGAGUGCCUUUGAAGUCAACGCAGAAGAGAGAAAGGAUGGAACAGCUUGAGGAGAGCCCUAUCAGGGAGCCACGGGUCAGCAGAGAUGGCCAGAACAUUCAUGGUGUGGAGGUGCUCCCUGCUGACAUUCAUGGUGUGGAGGUGCUCCCUGCUGAGGCACGACAGGGGCCAGGGCCAGCACAGCUGGAGGCCAGCCCUUCAGGGCUGCCUCUGUGCCUCCUAAGGGCAGGGGCUGCCUUCUCCAGGCCUCAGCCACAGAGAAGCUGGCUAGGGAGGGCGGGGAGCAUGUGGGUGGGUAGGCAGGUCCUGAAUGCCUCUAGAGAGGGAGUGGCUUCUCCAGUGUGGAAAAGCCACACAAAUGUAUUGAUUCAACCCCAUGUUUAUAAGUUUUAAAUGGAAGGAGGCUGGAAAAACUACCUCAUUAAUUAGUUAGGAAUUAUUAUUUCACUUAGUCUCAGGCAAAGGUUUUAUUGCAGGUGUUUCUGAGAUCUCAUUAACAAUGGUCUCUUGACUCCAUUUAAUGGGCCUUCAAACACACUCCAUAAAAAAUAUUAUUUUUCAGUGCCAAGGACGAAUCCCAGGCCCUCACUCACGUAGGCACACACUCGAACACUCAGCUGUGGCCCAGUUCUGUUGUCCCUCAUAUCCCCCAAUGCUGCCACACAGGUUCUACGUCCUAUAAUGAGGGAAAUGCAGGAGAUGCCACAUUGCCAGGUCAGUGUGCUAAAGCGUGCCAGCUCUGCCCGGCAAAAUAGCAGUUGUCAAGUUUUCCACUGCUUAGAAUGUCUAGGAGCACACCUCACCUCCUUUAAGGAGGAAGUUUCGCCCAUGCCUGCUGGGGAUGACAGUGGUCCCUGUUGGGGUAGCAGGAACGAACUGUCCAGCACACCGUCAUCUUUCUCCCCUCCACGAACCACUCUGUGUGCUGUCCUCACUGCUCCCAGCUUUUCCUCAGUGAUUGCAACCUCGUGGUCUGGAAGUCUCCUCACUAGCAUGUACCAGGACUGCCCGGAGCCUGGGGCCUUUUGAGUGAGCCAAUCCACCUUCCUUACUGCUUGGGUGUGUGUGUGGGGGGGGGGGAUAACCUUCCUGUAUAGCCCCCUGAGGCCUGGCCGGCCUCCCAGCGCUGUUGGGUUGUUUCAUUUUAGGCUGGGAGAGUGCUGAAUUUGCCUGUAGUGGUGUCGAGGCUGCAAAAAAAAAAGAGAGAAUCAAGUCUCCAAGAGCCACAACCUCCUGAAUGCUCAGGGCAGCAAAGACUCCUGCUUCUUACUCAGAAACGAAGCUUUCGGUUGGUCAACUAGAGACUUUUCUGUAAAGACUUUUUAAUGAACAGCCGAAACAACCCUUUUCUGCCUAAAGCGAGCUCCUCAGGUGUGGGAAGAGGGCACAGGGUGUGGACUUUCGGUGGCUUGGGUCCAUAGAUACGUGAGGACCACGGACGGGCAGCAAAGGGAAGGCAGGCAUGAGCAGGGAGCCAAGACGCUACUCCAGGCCUGUGGGAAGGCACAUGGUGGGGAAGGCACAGGCCAGCCAGUCCGAGAGGGAAAACAGUUGCUCUCUGGGGAGAGGCGUGAACUGUGAUUUUCCUCAAUAAAGUCAACAAAUCCUGGUGGUGUGGC